rnacentral:rRNA from 1 species
GGGGAAUUUUGGACAAUGGGCGCAAGCCUGAUCCAGCAAUGCCGCGUGCAGGAAGAAGGCCUUCGGGUUGUAAACUGCUUUUGUACGGAACGAAACGGUUCUCUCUAAUACAGGGGGCUAAUGACGGUACCGUAAGAAUAAGCACCGGCUAACUACGUGCCAGCAGCCGCGGUAAUACGUAGGGUGCAAGCGUUAAUCGGAAUUACUGGGCGUAAAGCGUGCGCAGGCGGUUAUGUAAGACAGAGGUGAAAUCCCCGGGCUCAACCUGGGAACUGCCUUUGUGACUGCAUAGCUAGAGUACGGCAGAGGGGGAUGGAAUUCCGCGUGUAGCAGUGAAAUGCGUAGAUAUGCGGAGGAACACCGAUGGCGAAGGCAAUCCCCUGGGCCUGUACUGACGCUCAUGCACGAAAGCGUGGGGAGCAAAC